rnacentral:lncRNA from 1 species
AACCCUUGUUAAUUGGUGUCACAAUCUAGUAACUGCCAUCUCCCAAGCUCACUUGGCCAGAGAUGGUCAACAGCAAACAUGCUGAGCUGCUUCUCCACUUUGAGAGGCCACCGCCUCAGCACUCCAGGUAGAGAAAGUAUCUGAAAGAUUAAAAAGAUGGCUGACUCCAUCCAGAUGCUGCAGGCCAUGCUUCAGCAGCCACACAACUGUCACAGACACCCCAGGGACGGUCUCCCCAGAAGUGACUACCAGUGACCUACCAAAAUCAAGGGGCUUUGCUGAUAUUCAGGAGCAUCCAUUCUUUCAAACUGCGGACUGGGACAUGAUGGAGCAAAAGCAGGUGGUGCCUCCAUACCAAAUAUCUCUGAGUGAUUUGGUUUGGACAACUUUGAUCCUGAAUUUACUAAUGAACCUUUCCAGCUCACCCCAGAUGAUAAUGAUGUCAUGAGGGAGCUUGAUGGAUAUGAAUUUGCAGGUUUUGAGUAUAUCAGUCAUCUUACGAUGUAUAAAGAAGGGGUCUGAUCCCCAUUUUUCAACUAUGCAUUUUCCUUAUGUUGCCAUUUAAUGCUUGGAAAAACUUGUUACCAGCCUGGAUAGAUUUAACCAUUUCAGAGAUGCCUGGAAGCUAAUUUUAAUUUAUUGUUUUGAAGCUAUAUUUAGAUGUAAUAUUUGAUUCUUAUAGUCUAUAGUAGAGAAUAUGGAAUUUUUUGUUCAUAGAUUAGAUUUUUAUGAGCUGAUUUAAAUAACAAUGAACCAGUCACUUGUUAACCACACUUGUAUAUACAUUCCAUUUGUUGAGUGGGACAUAAUGCCUAAUAUUUUUUCUUUUCACUUAUGAUACAAGAAAACAAUUUGUCUUUUCAGUAAAAUAUCUUACAUAUGCUAGUUUCUCUCCAACCACACUUUUGAAACUGACCACCUUUUGGGGUCAGUUUAUACAGUCUUCAGGAAAAUCAAAAAAAUACCAACAAUUGUGAAUAAAAACACAUAUACUUGUAUCUUUUUUAUAUGAAGAAAAUACAAUAUAUGACUACAAGCUUUGGAAACAUAAUAGUUCUCAUGAAAUGGGGCAUCUGAAAGGGAUUAAAAGAUAAUUUAUUAAAUGUUUAUAAAUUUUAAAUUGUUCUAAAUUUAAAACUAGAUCAUUAACUAAAAUGGAAUUAAACUAAGAUCUUACCAUUAUAACUUAUUUACAUUUAGAUGAUGAUGGUUACCUUUCACAUCCUUGGCAUAAAAAUGAUACUAAAACAGAAGGAUGAUAUAUAGCAUCCUAAUUUUAGUUAAUGAUCUAUUUUUAAAUUCAGAAUGAUUUAAAAUUUGUAAACAUUUAAGAAAUUAUCUUUUAACCAUUUUUAGAUGCCCCAUUUCAUGAGAAAUAUUACUUUGCUAAAGCUUGUAUUCAUGUAUUAU